GAGGGAGAACGCUCCGAACGACAACGCAGCCAGGAAACUCGCCCCACCCACAACACGCGGCCCACUCCCCCGACAACCAUAUCCACUCCUCCCACUCUCAGUCACAUCUCGAAUCCUCGAGAGUUUCCCUCGCCGCCGGGCAUGGAGGCCACCCCCCGCAAGCUCGUUUUCUUAUCCGGUGACGCACGGGCGGUGGAGGUGUCGCCACGCGCGCCGCGGCCUCGCUCGGAGGUGGAGGAGCGAGUAGAGAGGGCGCGCUCAGUGGGCGGCAUGGCGAGGCAGAAGGUGGAGAGGGAGUGGGCGGCCAUGCCUCGGCGGAGCAGAGUGGGAUGAGGCGGAGCAGGAAGCCUCGAUGGUGUGCGACGUCGGGAGGGAGGCGAGAUAGGCGGAGAGCACGGGGGAGACGAGGUCGUGGCGGUUCACGGCAUCGUGGGUCACCGGCAGAACACGGUGGCAGGAGGUGAAGAAGAUGAGGUCAUGGCGGCCAGGGCGGCGAGAGUUGCGGAAGGCCCGCGAGGAAGACGGAGGCGACCUCGCGGAGGGGAAGGGGAGCAGCGGGCGGACGAACGCGGAGGCGGAGCUCAACAUGCCGCCUGGCUUCCGCUUCCACCUCACGAACGACGAGCUCGUCGUGCACUACCUCUGCAGGGAGGUGGCGGCCCUGUACAAGUUCUGUACAAGUUCAACCCCUGGGGUCUGCCUGAACAUGCAGAGCAGGGAGUGGCACUUUUCCUGUUUGAACUAGCUUGUUUUUUUGUACAAGUUCAACUAUGAAAAUGCAUGUAAAUUUGAACUUUUUGUUUUGCCCCUCCUGAGUGUGAAUUGUGUGAGGACUAGCCUUUUUGUUCUGUUUAUAGGUGUGGCAAAAAUGCUGAACUGAUGGAACCUGCUACUGAAACUGAUCUGAAGCAAAAAUGCUAAACUGAUAUGAAACAAAAGAAGUCAAAUUCCUUUAGCAUGGGACAUGCUACUGAAAUUUGCCAUAUACCCAUUUUGGCAGUAGCAUGGCAUUUUCUAUAAGUAUGUAUAUCAUGGCAAUUUCAGCUCUUUGCGUAUCGAAGAUGCUCUUUUAUGCCAUGGCAACAAGUUCUUUUUUUUUUUUGCCAUGGCAACAAAUAGAGUUCUUCUUUAUUGCAUAGUUUUUGAAGUAUGGCAACUAAAAAUCUAAGUUUUGCACGGCAACUAUACAUGUUUUGCCAUGGCAAGUGAAGGUAUUUUUUGCCCACGGCAACUACACAUGUUUUUGCCAUGGCAAGUGAAGUUAUUUUUUGCCCAUGACAACAACUAAAUUUUUUAUACAACAGAUUUUUUAAGUUUUGCCAUAGCAAAGAUGCAAUGUUUGUUUGCCUUGGCAAAUUUUGCAAAGUUCGUGGCAAUUUUCAUCUCUGUCCUUGUUCACAAACAAUGCCAUUUUUUUCUCUAUAUGACAACAUUUAUGUGAUUUGGCAUGGCACUUUUUAUCUAAAAACAUGGCAAACUUGCCAACUUUAACAUGUUCAAAAACAUGGCAACUUAACAUGUUUCAAAAACAUGGCGAACUUGCCAUGGAAAACUUAAGAUGUUUUUGACAUAUAUAUUAACGGGGCACGGGAAUUGUAGUCACGGGGCAUGGCAACAAUACUUUUAUUCACAGCCAAAAGUGGGAUUUUUCUAUGAUUUUCUUGCCAUGGCAACUUUACUUUUAAUGAUAUGGGAAAUUUUUACUUUAUUUUUUUACAUGGAAAUUUUAUUGUAUAAAGCAUGGCAAUUUUAUUUUAAAUAUGAUGGCAAAUUUACAUUUUCAGAACAUGACAAAUUUUAAUAUGUAGCCAUGGCAAUUUUUGAUUUAUUUCCAUGGCAAAAAUACAAAUACUCCAUUUUUGCCAUGGAAAAAUUUAAUCAUUUUUGCCAUGGCUUAUUUUUAAUGACAUGGAAAAUAUUACUUUUUUUCAUGGCAAAUUUAUUUUAAAGAGCAUGGAAAUUUUUAUUUAAAUAUGAUGGCAAAUUACAUUUUCCGGAACAUAGUAAAUUUUACUAAGUGGCAUGGUAAAUAUACUUGUGUUCUCAUGGCAAUUUUUAAUUUAUUUUCCAUGGCAACAUUUAAUCCUUUUUUGCCAUGGCAAAAUUUACUCCAUUUUUUCCAUGUCAAAAAUACUUCUAUUCACAUGGCAAAUUUUUGUUUAAUUUGCCAUGGCAAGUUUUUCUGCUUUUUACAUUUGUGUAUUGAACGAUGGCAAAGCUAAGAAUUUUUGAUCCAUCGACAUGUCAUUACUCAAAACUAUUUUAUACAUACCCAAUAGUAAUUUCUGUACAAAUAUUUUUUGUUCUAUCCUAUAUGUCCAUUUUUUGUGCUUUUUUGUUUUUUCAUUAUAUCAUGGCAAACUUUUCACACUGAAUUUUAAUGAAGUGUGUAUGGACAUCAUGGCAAAUCAUGUAAAUUUCUGUAAUAUACCCUUUUUCAUGAUUAUAUAGUAGUUUUUUUCAUUAGAGCAUGGCAACUUUUUGUUCCUAGAUUUUUUCCAGUGAGUGUUUUUCUUUGGUCUAGUGAAUUUUUUAGCCCUUUUUGUGUUUUCUCUAUUUGUUGGGACAGAAGCAGUUUUGGGCCUAGAAUAUUGUAAUUUUUUUUGUUUUUUAAUUCUUGAAGGCAAUGAUGUUGGGCUGCUACCAUUGUCCUGGCCCGCUGGAGGGAGGGAGCAGGUCGUUCGGGAGGAAGGGAGAUCGUACCGAACGGAAUCGUUCGGGAGCUCCCCUCUCCUGACCGAACAAUACGUUUGAUCUGGCUCCUCCUCUCACCCAACGUCCGCGCGAUAUCGGGGUCCUUUGUUUUAGCAUGUUCAGGUUUGAUCCGAAUCAUAUCUUAUGUACCAUUAGCCUAAUUACUUGGCCGUGCAAGCCUGCAAGGGGACCACGGCUGCAGAAUUAGUGGUUUCUCAUAGAUGAUGCUCCAUAAAACUAGAACUUUAAGCGGACGCAGAUUUUUUGAGCACCUGCACCAGGCUCAUCUAUCUUAGCUUUCCAAUAUUGCUUUGAGCUCUAUGCAACAUAACUAACAUUUUACAUGUAAAAUUCUCUUUUUUGUUUCUCUCAUAUAGAACAUGUCUUAAAUCUCAAACUCUGCAGCACAAUAAAGCUUCCUAACUAGAACGUGAGAUAAAACUUUAAUAUUUUUUGGUUCGGCAUAAAUUCUAAAAAUAAAAAUUUUUAACCAAAAAAUCUUAAUUCGUAUAUUUAUAUUGGACGAAAAAAUCUGAAAGUUUUAUCCCAGAAUCUAGAUAGAAAGCUUUGCUGUGCUGUGGAAGUUUGAAGUUCAAAACAUUGUUAACAUGUAUGUAUGUAGUGCGCACGUCGCCUCCUAGAUUGUAGGAUCUGAACUGACUACCCCGGCCUGCGUGCCUUGUCCAUGGGGUGUAUAUAUGUAACACUGAUGUAUGUGUGAUAAUCAAUACAAGAGAGCAAGUUUACUCUC